rnacentral:SRP_RNA from 1 species
CCGUGCUAGAUGGGGUGCUAGCGGUGCCUUGUAACCUGUAAUCCGCUAUAACAGGAUCGAAGCCAUUUAGAGGUGUUUAUUGGUAGGGUCUGACUUUAAUAAGUGGUGUUGAUGAAUGGGUCCUACGCAAUGGGAAAUUGUGAACCCUGUCAGGUCCGGAAGGAAGCAGCAGUAAGCAAACCUUUCCAUGUGACGUAGGAGUGCCUGUUUUGAGCUAACUGGUGGAGUAACGCUUGUUUAUAUUCUUCGAAGAAUGGUGCACGG